AACAAGAUCUUCAGAAAAGCAAUCUUACAGAGCAUAUUUUUCCCUCUCUUAGGCAGCCAGUGUCUUCGGCAAGUUGUUAUCUAUGCCUAAAUGCUCAGAUGUGGCAUUCAAUAUCUACCCCCGCCUUCUGAUGACGCUGCUUGUUCAGGUGCACUAUAAUAUCAGGCACAAAGGAAUAAGGAACCCCAUUCCUCAGGCGGAAACUGAGCCUGUGUGGUAAAUAUAAGAGAGGCAAGAUUCUGAUGGUGGGGGCCAAAGGUCUUGGUAAUAUAUGAAGUGCUCCAUUGUCAUUAUAUGUUCCAUAUGUACAAUAUUCUCUUGAAUAAAGGACCACUCGCCCUCUGCCCUGCCAAAUAAUUGCUGAAAAUCAUUAUUAGGCUAGAGUUGUAAGGAUAAAAGAAAUAGUGAACUUUGUCAUGUGAGGUCAGUUCAAUAGCAGGACUCAAAACAAUAAUGCUUAACUUUCCUUAACACUUUUCUAAGUGCCCAUAGUUCCUCACAAAACUAUUUUGCUCAUUUCCCUCGAAGGAGCUCAGUGCAGCAUACAUGGUUUCCCUCUCUUCCAUUUUAUCCUCACAACAACUCUGUAAGGUAGGUUAGGCUGAAUGAGAGUGGCUCUCUCACUCAUGGCAGGGUCUGUAUGAACCUGGAUUCCCUAUUUCUGAUCCUCUAUACCACUGUGACACAUUGACCCUCCUUAUUUCAAUCCUGAAUUGCAUUAUUAUCCCCAUAUUGAAGAGUGUGGGUUGAGGCUGAAAGAGUGAUGGGUUGCCGAAGGCCUCCUUGUGAGUUUGUAACAGAGAUGAUUCUUGAAGUGGGGACUUUUAAACCUCAUAGCAGUUAUGCUAUGGCUACUUGCUGAUGUCUUUUUUUUUGUCUGAAUUCAGCUAUAUUGUGAAGACACUGAAAACACUUCUCCUAACUGUGGGAUGUUAUUGUGAGUUAAUUUUUUCUGAUAAGGAGGGGCUCUGGAAGCUACUCACCAGCUCUGAAGAUCACCAUCGGGGGGUAGGCAUGCUUGCAAGGUGAGUGGUAACAAGUUGUCCCACACAUUCCAGACAACCAAAAUGUGGGGUUAAUUAUAAACAAUAACAACAUGUAUGUGUGUGGUGUGCAUCCUCUCGUAACCAGAGUCUUGCUUCAUUGUCCCUGUUGUGACUGUCUGAGGAUCUUGUACCUUCUAGUUCCCUUCCUGGAACGAGGUGAUGAAAAGCACCAGAUCACUGCAAUGGCAUUCUUCGUUGAAGUAAGAUUCCUAGAAUCUCAUUCCCAGUUUCUAUGCAAGCCUUUCUAGGGACAUGGAUGGUUGGAUGAUCUUGACUCAAAGAGUGGUCUGCAAAUAUUGGAGGAAAUUCCUUUGCAAAUCUGUUGUGUGUUGUCAGUUAGUAGCUGUUAACUGCAGGUGUAAAAGGACUGGGAUUAAAUAGAUAUUAUACUUUUACAUCUGCAUCUGAAGAGAAGCUCAACCUUUUUGCAUUAGUUAGUAGAUAGGAAUGCAAAUAAAAAACCAAAAUUCCACCCAAGUUAUGUAAAUAAUACCUGAUCUAUUCAGUAAGUCAUAAGAACGUAAGAGCCCUGCUAGAUGAGGUCCAUCUAGUCCACCAUCCUGUCUCUCACAGUGGUAAACUAGUUAAUAUAGAGGACCAAUAACAGGACACAGGAGCUGAGGCUUUUCCUUGAUGUUGCCUCUUGGCACUGGUAUUCAGAAGUUUAUUGGCUCUGAGUGUGGAAGUUUCCUUUAGUCACCUAUGGCUAGUAACCACUGAUAGAGCUCCUCCAUGAAUCUGUCUUUUAAAAAGCUGUCUAUGCCUGUGGCCAUCACUACAACCUCUGGCAGCAAAUUCCACAUUUUAAUCACUCAUUGAGUAAUGAAAUGUUUCAUUUUGUCUGUCCUGAAUCUACUGCCCAUCAACUUCAUUGCAUGCCUGCAAGUUCUACUAUUGGGGAGGGGGAUUCUCUCUGUUCAUUCUCUCUAUCCCAUCAAUAGUUUUAUGCUCCCCUUAGUUAUCUCUUUUCUAAACUAAAGAAUCCCAGACUCUUCAGUCUCUCCUCAUAGGAAAGGAUAUCCAGCCUCCUAAUCAUCUUGGUUGCCCUCUUCCAUACCUUUUCCUACAAGGUCCUUUUAAACAUAUGGUGACCAGAAUAGCACACCAUAGCAUUUUAUGAUGAGGGUUUACCAGUGGCAUGCCCAUCUUACACACAAUUUUGAAAACACAUUUGCAGUGUCCAAUAUAUUCUCCAAACAAUCACAGAGAAACUUAAGUUACUUCCAGCUUUGUUGCUGCUUUUACCAUGUGUAUAAUCUGAAAGGACAAUCAAAUUGAUCAAGAAACUUCAACAACUUUUGCAUGUUCCAAAAUCAGUUCAGGCUUAAAUUAAAAGUACUUUUCUAAACCUUGUAUUAGAUCUUGAUUGAUCAUGGUCUUUGGUUUAAAAAAACAAAAAACAAAGAUAAUUUAGCUAGUUCUCUCCAUACAAUCACUGUGGAAAACAACUGCACAGAACAGGUUACCUGCAUCAAAAAGCAAAUAAUUAAAGAUAUUUAAAUAACAAAUGUAUCAAUGUUUAGAAAGAGACUAGCUUUUAAGCCUGGCUUUGUGAUAUCUGAAAGUAUCUUUUGAAUAAUUGAAGGAGGGGGGGACUGGUUAAACUAAGUUACGGUGACUUUGAUGGCUCUGGCCCUUUAUUACAGUAAUUUCCAUGGACCAGAUUGAGCAGUAACACACUGUACAGUUUCUGUAGCACAAAAGAUAAGCAAUAUAAAUUACCCUAAAGCCACUGGACUGGUUAAAUCUGUUCUACUGCAAGCUUUCUUACUAACAAGGACCAAGAAACAGAUUAGCAGAUAGGCCAAUUUGUUGUGACAUUUUAGGCACAAUUCAUAACUAAGUGCAAAAAGCAAGCAAAUGCAUUUUGACUACCUGAAUGGCAUCUGGGGGAUAUAUGUUCCUAGAAUCCAGGCAACUACUCACCAGUUUCCUUUAGUCACCUAUGGCUAGUAACCACUGAUAGAGCUCCUCCAUGACUCACCUAUUCUGUCUUUUAGCUUCUUUAUAUGUCAGAAGCCAAGAGACUUCCAGACAAAUAUUCCUUGAAUCGUCUGAAUCGAGGCUUGGUUAAUGGAAACCCAGUUAUCCGAGCAUUGUGUAUCAAGGGACUAGUUAAGAUAGCAGACUGGCCAGGGAAGGAGGUAAAAAUAUUAUUGCCAGCCAUGAUAAAAAGCCUGACUGGAAUGGAUGGCAGAUUGUAUGUCGAGACGGUUGCUGAAAUUGAGAAAAUCCUUGCAGACCCAGAAGGAGUAGACGAUGUAUUCGAUAUCAUUCUGUCUCUACAGGAGCUGUUCAAUAAUGAGAGAGAAAGUGUGCGUGCUUCUGCCAUAUUUCUUUUUGGCAAAAUGGUGAAAUUAACUAAGAAAAGCAACAAACUGAAGAUAAUACUAGAAAAUUUGGUCCCAUUACUUCUGCAUCACCAGGAAGAGAAUCCUGAUAUCACCGAGGCAAGUUCCUAUAGAUAUUCAUCUCUUAAUUUCCAGAGCAUCAUCAUGAUAAUCCACCAACCAGAUUUUUCAACCACAGUCCAGCCAUUUCUCCAUCUUCUGCCAUACGACACACACACCCACGCUUCUUUGUACAGUGAUACCACAAACCUAGCCCCUGUGAACAGCAAAUACAAGAAAAUCUGCAUUCUAUUCAGUAGCAGGAUGACAUGGCUUUCUGAACAAGGCAAACUCUCUAUUGCCCCAUCAUGUAUUUCAGAACUGUAAAUACACCUUAAACGAAUGCUGUCGAUUCCUUGGAUACAAACUACCAAAAGAAGUUGUCAUUGGUAAAGCAUGGCAUGAAAAUGAAGACAUUCUGGAUGAAACCUGCCGGUACCUUGUAUGUUGUCUAGUACAAAUUAUUCGAGAGGAGUGGAGAAAGAAAGACAGAAAAUAAGGCUGGUUGUAUUAAGGGUUUCCAUCCUGGAAGAAAUUAAAGAACAAAUCUGCUGUUGCUAAUUACUUGUAUAUUAUUUUAAAAUGUCUGCUUAUUAAAACUGCCAAUCAUCCAGAACUCAAGAGAAAGAGGGGAUAAAAAGCUGGUACAGUUCUAAUGAUGGUACCAGUUCUAAUGGUACAGCCCUAAUGAUGGCAGAGCACUGCUGCUCUCAUCCAAAGGGGAGAGGGUGAUUUUUGCAAAUCUCUCCCUUCCCUCAGCAGAUACCCUCAACAUAUCCCAGGCAGUUUCCAAGAGCCUUCCAUCCCCAGGUGCCUUGUUUUAUGGAGUGCAGCACAAUAAUAGAAAGUGGGAGGUGAAGAUCCGUUCUGCAAGUGAAGCUUCAGAAGUGGUCCUUUGAAUCCAGUCCAUGAUUGUGAAGGGUUAUAAUAAUAAUUUUUUGGCAUACUUCCUUUUCUUGUUGUGUACUAAGGGUUAUAAAGGGCCUUCUUAAUUUAGUCUGUCACAAAGAACCUAUCUUGCACCAGUUAUUUGACUGGACUUACCUAAAAGCCAGCGAUGAUGAUAAUAGUGUUUAUAUAGUACUGUUCCUAACAACACUGAGAGUUUUAUUGACAUUAACAUAGUAAUCCUUACAACAGCCAUAUGAGGUAGGAUAGUACUAUUAUCCUCAUAUUACAGAUUGGGGGCCAGCUUGCUUAAUGCCUCAUAGUAAUAACUGAGAUAAGACUUUAACCAAGGAUCUCCCAAAGAUCAUAACAUCUUAAUAUUUCACAGGCUUAAAAUCUGUGUAAGUUACUCACUUCAGUAAGUUUCUGCUGCCAUUUAUGUAUUCUAUUGAAUUUUCAGGUACAGAAACAUGAGGGAGAUCUCCAGGGAUUCUUGUACCAGGGUCUUCUCUACACUGAUAGUACAGUUGUUUCUGUAAGAAGGGCUUCUGUCAUGUUUCUAGGUUUCCUGGUAUUACAUAUGGACUACAGGGCAGGAGAUGUAGAGCUGAAUGUGAUAAUAAAUUGUAAGUAAAUGGAAAAAAUAUUUAGAUCCUUGUAUUGGUAAGUAAUAGUAAAAGAGAACACAGAAGAAAGGCAGUAACACUUAGUGCAUUCCUAUGCAGUUAUUCCAGUCUAAGCUCAUUAAUUUCAGUGGGUUUAGACUUGAGUAACUGCAUGUGGUUGCACUUAAGAUACUCUGCUGCUAUAGGAUGCAUACAUUUGCCCCUGAAAAUACUUAAAUUAGAAGAAAUUAUGUUAAACUUAUAACUACUGCCUUCUAUAUCCAAUGAAUGUAUAGCCUGAACACCUCAACCAAAUAUGAGCAAGUUGCCCCACAAUUCUACAAGAUUUAACAAGCCGUACCACACAACUUGCAAUAUUAUGCUAGGUUCAUAUAUGAUCCUACUUAACCUAAAGCACCAGAAUAUUUCACAUAGGCCAAUAAAUAUCACCCCCAAAUCCUUUGUGAUUCACAUGUAUGUACAACAUAUAGCAGCAUCUGUUGUGAAGGCUGUUUGUAUCUCCUGGCAGUACAGAAGACUGUCACCCACUUAUCUUGCUGAGAUGCUGAUACGUACAGCUGUAUGGUAAUAAUGUACUUUAAGUAGAGCGUAAUGUAUAUAAUGCAUUAUAUAAUGCAUAUAACACGAAUUAUAUAAUCAAAUGGUAAUUCACUCUUCCUUAGUGUCCCUCAAUAAAACUAAAAACAGUACUCCUGUGCUUUCAAGAAAGAGUAGGAGAUAGGGUCAAAAAUACAUCACAGUAUUGUGUGGAAAUAACUAAUUUUCCAAGAUUCUGUCAAAAAUGUAAGUGAUUUUAUGGCUUUGUUUACUUAGGGUGCCAGUUUCCCCAAAAUGCAAAGGAAAGUUUAGCAGGAUGAUUAUUCUAUAAUGUAUUAGCAGGAAACUGAACUGUAAUGAGAGCUACAAAUUCUCAUGGUCACAACAGUGCUGUUCAUGAAAUCUGGUUGGACAAUAUUAUAGGAAUUUCAUGUUUGUUUUUUUAAAAAAAAAGCAAAUUGUGGCCUUCCAAGUUGCAGUAAAGGUAUUAAAAAUGCAACAGAUUGGUAACUAUUAUUUGAGGCCAUUUUUGGGGGGGUUACUCAUUCAGGACAAUUGACUUGUGCCUCCCCUCUCUUCCCCUUUUCUCAAACACACAGAUUUUCCAGGAUUCCUGCAUCCCAUUUCUUCACCACACCAGUCCUUGAUAGCAAAUGCCAUAAAUGGUAACAGGCCUUCCCUGUUCUCAAAUUUUUGAAGCUUAAAGGAGGUACACAAAAAGUAUAUGCAUACAAUGAAGACGGGAUUAUUUUCUGUAACAGAUGGUUUAAAAAAAAUAUAUCCACUCCCCUUCUAGAUGUUUGUGAUAUUUUGUAUUCAUGGUGGCUCCAAUUAGAGUCCCUGAUAAUUUAUGACUGGAUUAUUCCCUUUCAUACGCAGCUCUUGAAUGUCUGAUGCAUGACUCUGAGGAAUCUGUGUGCAUAGCUGCAGCUCAGGCCCAUGAACGUGUUUCUGCAGUUCUCUCCAAACAGAAGCAUGGACUAGAUGAACACAACUCAAUAGCGGCCAGUGACACUGCUGAAAAGCCUGUCAGGAAUUCCAAGCACUGUAAUGCCACUGCUACCAGGAGCAGUUCCUCCCAUUUUUUUGCUGUCACUGACCUCUGGAAAUCAGCCAAUAAAAAUUAACAUCUGGCCCAAGGAAGCUUGACAUACAGCUCUUCAAAAUAACCAAAGAAUUGUGAAUGUCAGUUUUCUUGCACUGAAUCUCAGCAAGUAAAACAAAUCCACAAAAGGAAUCACCAAGUUUCCUGGUUACUGGACUAUGAAAAAACACGGGUUCCUACAAAUUGCAUCCAGUUGGGCUUCUUCUUGCCAGAUCAGCUUACAAAGGGCCUUUUAACACCGUUUUUAGAUUAUGUGCAUUAGUCCUACAAGUCCCCUUUUUAAUGGCAAUAUAUCCUGUGUAAUAGAUAGGGAAACUGUCUUGGGGGGGUGGGGUGCAGGAAGAAAUGUGCUGUUCUCUUUUCUCCUCCAUCUCCCUCUUGUAGUUUUUUGUGUGCACACAAGAAAUGGGGAUGGAAAGCUUCCAAAGAAUUGUUAAUAAUUUUAUUUAUUUUUAAAUUAAGAAAAGAUUUAGUAAACUACACCAUCAAAAAAACAGAAAAGAAACAAAAACAUACCGACUAAGUACACUGUCAAAGGAUUUACCCAUUACAUACUGUUCAAUUGACAAAAUCAAGAAUAUUAACACUGAGUGGUCUUAAUUUUACUUCUACCUACUCUGUUGCCCGUUCCAUCUUAUGUACAACUCCUGACCAUAAUGAGUCCAAUCUGGAUAUAUCACUGUUUUGAUGGAAAGCCAUUAAUUUCAUCAUAAUUUAGAUCUCUUUUACUUUCAACAGCCUAUCUUGAAUCUUGGGGAUUUUUGCUUCCUGUUCCUGUCAAAUUCCACUCUGUAAGGCUACCAUGUGAGAGUCUCUAGGGAAGUUGGGUACAUAAUUUAGCAAUAAUGUCUCUGAUCCCUGGCAGAUGUGGAAUAAGUAGAGCUGACACUGCUACCUGGAAUAAUAAAAGGACCACCUUUAAUUAAUUUUACAUCGAUCAAGAGAUCUGCUGACCUUCUCUGUACCUAGUCAUAGUGCUGGCCAUUGAUGGGAUGCAGAAGAUUUUCAAGUUGCAGCCAAUUUAUGUGACCCUGUAGGGUUUUCAAGAGAUGUUCAGAGGUGGUUUGCCAUUGCCUGCCUCUGCCUAAUGAUCCGGGAUUUCCUUGUUGGUCUCUCAUCCAAGUACUAAUCAAGGCCAACCACUGCUUAGCUUCAGAAAUCCAACAAGAUUGGGCUAGCCAUGGCCAUCCAGGUCAGGGGCCAUAUGUGGUGGUGGUGGAGAGUGCCAUCAAGUUAUAGCUGAUUUAUGGUGACUCCUGGUGGGAUUUUCAAGGCAAAAGACUAAAGGAUGUGGUUUCCCAUUGCCUGCUUCUGCAACCCUGGUCUUUGUUGGAGGUCUCCCAUCCAAUUACUAACCAAAGCCAACCCUGUUUAGCUUCUGAGAUCUGAGAGUGGGCUCAUCUAGGCUAUCCAAGCCUAUCCAGCUCAGGACCAGUGCCCGCUACAUAUUUCUUGACUGAACCAUUCAAGAUAUCAUUUUAUUUAUUUAUUUUAUUCAAUUUAUACCCCGCCCUCCCCAGAGGGGCUCAUAGGGGUAAGUGCAGGUAAUAUACGAAUCAGAGUAAGUAAGGGC